rnacentral:rRNA from 1 species
UACGUAGGGGGCAAGCGUUGUCCGGAAUUAUUGGGCGUAAAGAGCGCGUAGGCGGUCCGAUAAGUCGGCUGUGAAAGUCAGGGGCUCAACCCUUGGAAGCCGGCCGAUACUGUCGGACUAGAGUCCGGAAGAGGCAAGUGGAAUUCCCGGUGUAGCGGUGAAAUGCGCAGAUAUCGGGAGGAACACCAAUUGCGUAGGCAGCUUACUAAACUGUAACUGACGCUGAGGCACGAAAGCGUGGGGAGCAAACAGG